AUGGCAACCCUAUGGCAGGCCUAUGUUAACCCUAUGGCAGGCCUACGGCAACACUACGGCAGGCCGAUGGCAACCCAAUGGCAGGCCUAUGGCAGCCCUACGACAGGUAUAUGGCAACCCAACGGCAGGCCUAUCGCAGCCCUAUGGCAGGCCUACGACAGGUAUAUGGCAACCCAAUGGCAGGCCUAUGGCAACCCAUGGCAGGCUAGGGGCAGCCCUAUGGCGGCCUAUGGCACCCUAUGGCAGGCCCUAUGGCACCCUAUGGCAGGCCUAUGGCAACCCUAUGGCAGGCCUAUGGCAACCCUAAUUGGCAGCCCAUGGCAGGCCUAUCGCAGCCC
rnacentral:lncRNA from 1 species